rnacentral:rRNA from 1 species
CCUACGGGUGGCAGCAGUGAGGAAUAUUGGUCAAUGGCCGUAAGGCUGAACCAGCCAAGUCGCGUGAAGGAAGAAGGCCCUAUGGUUUGUAAACUUCUUUUAUAGGGGAAUAAAGUUAUCCACGCGUGGAUAUUUGCUUGUACCAUAUGAAUAAGCAUCGGCUAACUCAGUGCCAGCAGCCGCGGUAAUACGGAGGAUGCGAGCGUUAUCCGGAUUUAUUGGGUUUAAAGGGUGCGUAGGUGGUUUUUUAAGUCAGCGGUGAAAGUUUGUGGCUCAACCAUAAAAUUGCCGUUGAAACUGGAAGUCUUGAGUGUGUUUGAGGUAGGCGGAAUGCGUGGUGUAGCGGUGAAAUGCAUAGAUAUCACGAAGAACUCCGAUGGCGAAGGCAGCUUACUAAGCCAUAACUGACGCUGAGGCACGAAAGCGUGGGGAUCAAACAGGAUUAGAUACCCGAGUAGUC